ensembl:lncRNA
GUGCAGCUAGAACUCUGGCUGCAGUCAGCACCCCCAUCGUGCCUCUGGGCAUGUUGUUCUUUGGUCCUCUUCUGUAUGGUAACAAGCCAAAGCAUAGUACAGUACUCCUGUCUUCAUACCCUGAAGCAUUUGGCAAUAUUACAGCAAUUCAGAAAGAAGGUGUGUAAAUGAUAUUCCUGUAUAACAAAAUAGGAUACAGGGGAUAAUACUGUACAGCUGCUUGUUCAGGUUUUAUUUCUUUUUCAAUAUCAGUGUAUAUUUCCUGUCAGAGGUAAAACAAAAAUCUUAAUGAUGUAUUACCAUUGCUGUUGUUUGGUUUUUAACAUUGCAGUCACAAUAGUUUUGCAGUAGAGUGGCUGAAAAGCUGCACACUCGCUUGGAGGUUCUGUAACAUAAAACAUAACAAUCCUUGAGAAUUACAGACAGUACAUAUCUAAGUCUUGCAGAUCAGACUAGCAGCACACAUGCUUUAUGGCUUUGUGAUUUAGAGUUGUUUUUUUUUUCCUUUGCCUGUGUCCCUGACAGACAACUUUAUUUUCUACACAAAUGUUCUGCUCAAAUUAUGUCCAAAUCCAGAUAUCCUGCAUCUAACUGGGCCUUAGAACAGUGUGAGGGAGUUUGGCAUUGUUGCCAUCCAUUUUCCUGGCCAACUUUGUCUUAGCAGUUGUGCUGACAAGCAUCAAACUCUAGUACAGCGCCACCAGGAUACUCAUUCCUGCUCUGAAGGUGCUUUAGAAGAUGGAAAAUUAUAGGUGAUAGCUGUCUGGGCCCAGGACUUGCUAAGGGUGUGUUUAGUGCCUCUGAUCAGAGGAUGACCACAGAACACACAUUUUCUCAUGACAGAGAAAGCAAAUAUUGUGUUGUGUCAUGAUGAAAGAAAUAAGCCUCCCUUUGCUAUCUCACUGAUGUGGAUCUGUAGCUUGAAUAGUGACAACAGCAGACGUGCCGUGUAUUGAUGUUCUCAUCGUCUUUCUGCUAAGGCUCUCAUUUGCUUUGUCCAUGGAAGAAGACUUUGCAGGUGUUCUUUAUUCCUAAUGCAUCUGUAGGAAUAUGAAUGAUUAAGAAUGUCUUUCUGAAGAAAGCAAAGUGGAAGAAGGUAGUUCAGAACAGACACUUAGAAGCAGAAACAGGACGCUCUCCCUUCCUUAGGGAGCACUGAAAUUCUUUGAUGCCAGCAAGCUUGCUUAUACUUCAGAAAGCUGUUUCCUGAAGCUAUGCCUCUUUUCAUUUCCCUGCAGAUGAUGCUUCUGACAAGUCUUUAGGUCUAGCAGGAGUGAGUAAUAGUAAAUAUUCUAAUAGGUAAAUUUUGGCAGAUUUAAAAGUACGUGAACAGAUGUACUAUACAAGUGUCAAUUUUCUUGAGUACUUAGUUCUUGAAGCAACAUUGCACUUUAAUCUUUCCAAGUAUUUCUUUUUUGCUAAGGCAAUAAAAAGUCUGAAAAUGACAAGCAGAUCAUGGGCUUUGCAGUCCUCUGAGGAAGAGAAAAGGAAUGUAUUAACUUACAGCUUCAUCUUUUAAACUCGGGAAGCGGCUCAUCAGGUCUGCUCGCCAAACAGAGGCAGCAAUAUCUACUGUUGUCGAUACAGAGUUGAAAUGAUAGGACAAAUCAGUCGUAUCAUGAGCAUCUUUAUUGUAGAAAUUACUUCUCAGAAUUCAUCAGCUACUUGAUUUGGGGUCUCUCUAGCACUGCCCUGUUAGUGAUGUUGAAGAUGGUAGUGCACAGCACUAACUUUUCCGGAGGUACUGUAGUCGUAGCUGACUGUUGGUCUCAGGAUAGUGACAGAAGACAAAAAUAAUAUGCAUAAAUGGAAUAGCACACAGAAUAUCUGAACCAUGAAGAAUGAGCAAUUUGUAAUGUUGCAACCAAAAGCUUGACUUACUACCUCCAGUCCUGCUGCCCAGAUCCUUUGGAUCAGCUGGGAACUACGAGGCUGCUUUACGCAUUGGGGGGACUGGCAGCUGCCUGACGUUCAGCCUUCAUUUCAGGACUCCACCUUUUCUGCCCCAAAUCAUCCUAGCACUUAGUAAGUUGACCAGUUGUCAGAUGCCUGGCCAAAGAGGAGAUUUUUAUUAAGAAAAGCUGUUUUAUGGUGUAAUUACUAUUUUAGCACAUUGGCCAAAUGUUUGGUUUUGCUCAUAACUUUUAACAAGCGGCACCACAAAGCGCUCUCAGUGGUAGAAUAGGGUUCUACUUUUGGCUAAGGAGUGUUUGUAAGAUGGUGGCUGACACAGCGGUCAGAAGAGAGCAGAUGUAAAAGGGGCAGAAUCAGAAGCUCGGGCUAGUAGUGGUGGGUGUUGGUUUUAGACAAAAAAGCAUUCGUUCUCAAUAAAAGAUGCUUAAGAAUGUUUCUGUGAGGAAAAUGGUUUCAGGUCAGAGCUCUGGUUAUGGCGAACGUUUUACUGUAUUACUGAAUGAAGUAAAUCUUUUCCAGUUCUGUAUUUCAUUUUACACACGCUACCUCUGAAACGUAACUCCACCUUUAAAACCACACAGAAAAUGUGAAUUAAAAAAUAAAAUAAAAAAGCUUUUAUAGGCAAUAAAUUAUUUCCAACACACAUCCUCCACUUUUGUGCCUGUUUUUUAGUUGUGUGAAGCAUUCAGUUUGCUUUUCGUUCUGGUACUGUUUCAUGCAUUUGUCUCAAUCUAUGGACAGGGAAGUAAUGCAGGUGUGAUAUUUGGGGAAAAAAGAUUAGCAUAUGUUAAUGGUAGUGAAUAUUUCUAUUAAUGCUCAAGGAUGGGACAGUAAAUUUUCGCAGCUGUACAGUUUUUGGUACAGCUAUUGUAAGAAAUGGAUAUUAUACUUAGAACUACUCCGGUACCAAAUGACUGAUGCGAUGUUUCUUAGUGCACCAUAGAUGAAUUGAUCAGAGGGAUCAGUCAGACAGCCAGUCUCAGCAGUGUGAUGAGAAGGGAUAGAAUUUUACUUUUUUUCUAUUUUAUUUUAUUUUUCCUAAUAACCAUAUGUAUAAAAACCUUUAGGAACAGUUUUGAUUUGCUUGUAAGCAAGUGUGACGUUAAAAUGACUCAGGGGCAAGCUACAGCUCCCUUGUAAAUGCAGACCAUUGUUGGGUAGCAAAAUGUGAUCUUAAGAAGAAGCAAGUCAGUCAUUUCCCCCAUGUCUGUGCCCAUGAAAGAUGGGGAGGGGGCGGUGGAACCAACGCACCCUUGGAGCCAUGGGUGUGGGGAGGGAGGCAGGGAGGUGCCGGGUGCCACGGCAGCUGUGUGGCUGCGGUGGAGGCCUUGGGGCCUGUCCAUGUGAAUGAAAUAGAUGGAGACGUUCCCACCCCUCAGACAGCACGAGCUUCUGCGUUGUCUCAGAUGCUGUGAAGUGCAGCUGAUAAAAUCGUGGCAGAAUCAGCUGAAUUGCGUGUGGGGAAAAAUGUUGCUCUGUAGUGGGCAUGGUACUGUUUGUGUGGGUUCUGGAAUUACUCAGAGUGCACAUGAGUCCGUGUAUGCAGAGUUACAGUGUGCACAGAUACAACGGACACGAUAGCGUUGGCACCUGCAGAGCUACUUCCACUUAAAACGUUAAUGUAAUUCAUAUAGAAAUACUUCAUUUGGGCUCAUUUGUGUAAGUUUUACUGCACUGAUUACAUGGUUCUGUACAUCUGUACAAUACAGGUUAUUGUCCAACUGCAAAACCGGUGAUUUGUAGGAUUGGAAGUUAGUUAAAAAGUCCUCAGUGAUGAUAUUCGUAAGUGAUAUUGGCAUAUAAACAAACUGCUGUAUUUAUGCAGAGGUAGUGAAUCUUCUGCCACGAUAAUUUCUGUUUUAAUUUCACAAAAGGUAUUGGUUUGAUGUCAUUUUUCUUCGGAAGGUUUAAACAUGAAUCUGUUCCGUAGGUGUUUUCAUUAGCCAACAAAAAGCAAUGUUAAAACAAGGAUGAUUUCCUUCUGGGCCGAUCUGCCAAGGCUCAUAACCCGAGUGGCUCAUUGAAUCUCUGUGACACGUCAGUAUUUAUAUUGCAUUUCUAUUAUUUGUAUCAGUAUGUGUAGCAAAAAAAUUGCUCUAAAUCUUGACCUGAUGUACCUCCACUGUAGCCCAGGACGUUGGAUCUUGGCUUAUUUGAGAGAUGGAUGCCUAGUGAAAUAUUCCAUGCAUUUAUAUUGAUUUUUUUUUCUUGCUGUUGUUCUGUAUAUAUAAGGGUAUUUAUAAUUCUGUAUUAACAGAGAUGCUCAUUUCCUUCUCCAGAAGUCUGCUCAGCUAUUUUUAUAUAAAAUGUUGGUCUUUGCCUUAAUUUUUUUGUGCAAGUCGUGCCAUAGAUACUUUAACUUAUCCACAGGUAGUUCAUGCAAUUUGCUUUGAAAUGUCUUUGGUUAAUGAUUUUUUUUUUCCUCAAAUCAUUCUAAAUUGUUUUCUCCUCCAAGUGUACGAUGAGAUUUUUUUUCUUCUUAAUCUUGGUUUUGUUCCGUUUCGAAGAUACCCCGGUAUGCAUGCUUCGGUUAGAGCCAGCUUUUUCUCUGUAGCUUAUUGUUUCUAGUUAAAAAUCCUUCUACUGAAAAAGAAAGAAAUGAAGUAAUGCUUGUACAGAUGUGUCUAUAGCGCCCAGACGGUCAGAGCCAAGGGCUAUUUAGCGUUGGUAACUUUGUCUACUAGACUCAAGGAUAUUUUUCUACGUCUGUCACGUUUGGGCCUAUGGCGAAAUGAAAUAAAGGUGAACCGACUCCUUUUCCUAC